rnacentral:rRNA from 1 species
UACGUAGGGGGCAAGCGUUAUCCGGAAUUACUGGGUGUAAAGGGAGCGUAGACGGUAAUGUAAGUCUGGAGUGAAAGGCGGGGGCCCAACCCCCGGACUGCUCUGGAAACUAUGUUACUAGAGUGCAGGAGAGGUAAGCGGAAUUCCUAGUGUAGCGGUGAAAUGCGUAGAUAUUAGAAGGAGCACCAGUGGCGAAGGCGGCUUACUGGACUGUAACUGACGUUGAGGCUCGAAAGCGUGGGGAGCAAACAGG